rnacentral:misc_RNA from 1 species
AUAUAUUGCAAAACCAUGACAAGUACCAGUUUACCCAGGAGCCACCUCAAAAGCCAACUAGUGGAUCAUUGUUUCUUUUCAACAAGAGGGUCCUUCGUUUCUUUCGCAAAGAUGGUCAUAAUUGGCGUAAAAAGAAGGAUGGAAGAACUGUUGGGGAAGCACAUGAGCGACUUAAGGUUGGAAAUGUUGAGGCUUUAAAUUGUUAUUAUGCACAUGGAGAACAAAACUCAAAUUUUCAGAGACGUAGCUACUGGAUGCUGGAUCCGGCAUAUCAGCAUAUUGUUCUUGUUCAUUAUAGAGAGAUUGGCGAGGGAAAGUCCACUCCUGGAUCUGCUGCACAGUCAUCACCACAGUUCUCUUCUGCUUUCAGCCCAAGGUCAAUAUCACGUACAACUCAGAAUCGAGAUUCUACCUCUGCUGUUAGUGAUUUAUGUGACCCACGUCAGACUUCAUCCAGUCCAAGUUCUGUAGAAGUCAGUUCAGAGAUAGGCACCAAGGACAAUGGAUUAGAGACUACAACAGGGUAUACUAGUUCUGCAAAGGAUGAGGUUAGUCGAUUUUUGAGAAGUCUGGAGGAGCAGUUGAGUCUGAAUGAGGACAGCAUCGAAGAAGUUGAUCCAUUAUACAGUGAGCAAGGAACCAAAAAUGAUUCAGAACUUUUGGAAUUUGAAAAACAGAUCUCCAAGAAGGAUCACUAUGAAAAUUUGCUGCAUGGACCCGAAUAUAUUGUGAAUAAGCAAUGUUAUGCUGAACCUCCUGGGUUUCAAAUGCAGAUCAACAAUCUUGUUCACCUUCAGGAUGCAGGUGAUAGUGGCAAAUACCAUCAAUCUGUACAGGAGCAUGCAGAUGGGAGUAAAGAAUCCAUGUCCUGGAAUGAAGUGUUAGAGCCCUGUAGAGUGUUAUCUUCUGUGGAGUACCAGGAAAAGCCACAGCCUUCUUUGAGGGAACCAGCUGAAGAGCAUGAGUACUCUCGUUGGCUAAAUUUCAAUGGAGCUAAUGUCAGAAAUUCUUCUGUAUUGCUGCCUCAAGAAGUUCAAAAUGUUGAAAUUCCUGCGUACUCUCCUGUCUUGGUAACUCAUGAAACCAAUCCUGACUACCAUCCAGUGCUAUAUGACCAAGGCCAGCUUGAAGUGCCAAUUGAAGCAGAUUCAAGUUUGACCAUUGCACAACAGCAAAAAUUUACAAUCCACGAAAUAUCCCCAGAAUGGGGUUUUACCUC